GUACACUCCUGCGGGAGGCAGCAGUGGGGAAUUUUGGACAAUGGGCGAAAGCCUGAUCCAGCAAUGCCGCGUGAGUGAAGAAGGCCUUCGGGUUGUAAAGCUCUUUUGUCAGGGAAGAAACGGUGAAAGCUAAUAUCUUUUGCUAAUGACGGUACCUGAAGAAUAAGCACCGGCUAACUACGUGCCAGCAGCCGCGGUAAUACGUAGGGUGCAAGCGUUAAUCGGAAUUACUGGGCGUAAAGCGUGCGCAGGCGGUUUUGUAAGUCUGAUGUGAAAUCCCCGGGCUCAACCUGGGAAUUGCAUUGGAGACUGCAAGGCUAGAAUCUGGCAGAGGGGGGUAGAAUUCCACGUGUAGCAGUGAAAUGCGUAGAUAUGUGGAGGAACACCGAUGGCGAAGGCAGCCCCCUGGGUCAAGAUUGACGCUCAUGCACGAAAGCGUGGGGAGCAAACAGGAUUAGAAACCCCGGUAGUCCCAUG
rnacentral:rRNA from 1 species